CAGAUACUCGCUCCGUCCCAAAAUUCUUGUCUUUGAUUUGUCUACAUACGAAUGUAUUUAUUCACAUUUUAGUGAUAGAUACAUCCGUAUCUAGAUAAAUUUAAGACAAGAAAUUUGGGACGGAGGGAGUAUGAU
rnacentral:pre_miRNA from 1 species